rnacentral:tRNA from 1 species
ACCGUUGUUGUUUAGCGGGAAACUAACUGCAUGGCAUGCAGGGGGUCAGGAGUUCGAGUCUCCUUGGCUCCA